GCCCCCGGCAACACUCCAAGCAUCCUGGCUCUGUUAGAGACCUUGCAGUGCACGCCUCACUUGGAAGUGCACAAAGACAUGAUUCGCUGGAUCCUUAAAAUGGUGGUUAGCAUUAAAACGAUGCGCGAGUGCACAGCUGCUGCACCUCCCUGUGAAGGAACUGGGCACUGUCACAAGGAGACUGUGUGGGACAAAGACAAAGCAGAGAGAAAAAGGAAAGCUGAACUGUGCUGGAAAAAGACCACGGCUCAAACAUUACAGAGCCAGAG